rnacentral:rRNA from 1 species
CCUACGGGUGGCAGCAGUGGGGAAUAUUGGGCAAUGGGCGCAAGCCUGACCCAGCAACGCCGCGUGAAGGAAGAAGGCUUUCGGGUUGUAAACUUCUUUUAAGAGGGAAGAGCAGAAGACGGUACCUCUUGAAUAAGCCACGGCUAACUCCGUGCCAGCAGCCGCGGUAAUACGUAGGGAGCGAGCGUUAUCCGGAAUUAUUGGGUGUAAAGGGUGCGUAGACGGGAAAACAAGUUAGUUGUGAAAUCCCUCGGCUUAACUGAGGAACUGCAACUAAAACUAUUUGUCUUGAGUGCAGGAGAGGUAAGUGGAAUUCCUAGUGUAGCGGUGAAAUGCGUAGAUAUUAGGAGGAACACCAGUGGCGAAGGCGACUUACUGGACUGUAACUGACGUUGAGGCACGAAAGUGUGGGGAGCAAACAGGAUUAGAUACCCGAGUAGUC